UACGGAGGGUGCAAGCGUUGCUCGGAAUUAUUGGGCGUAAAGGGUAGGUAGGUGGUCUCGUUUGUCUGAGGUGAAAGCCUUGAGCUUAACUCAAGAAGUGCCUUAGAAACGGCGAGACUAGAGUCUUGGAGAGGGUCGUGGAAUUCCCGGUGUAGCGGUGAAAUGCGUAGAGAUCGGGAGGAACACCAGAGGCGAAGGCGGCGACCUGGACAAGUACUGACACUCAACUACGAAAGCGUGGGGAGCAAACAGG
rnacentral:rRNA from 1 species